GUGACUUUUGGUCGCUAUGCUUUAAUAGAACCUACGUGCUGGGUUGCACAAUACGUAUCACUCCCUUGUCGGCUUAAGCGGCAGAAGGUUGAUGGUUGAUGGUAGUGGUCUGUGGCGGUGGCGCGCGCUGCACGCUUCGUCCUAUUCUCCCUCCACCGCUCGGGUCGCUGUCGUCCGGUGUCUCUCCGAAAGGGUGUUGUCAAAGGAGUCUAUAGGGUGUUGUGAAUGGGGGCAUGAUGCUGGUUGGUUCUUACAGAACUUUUAUCAGACAUUUGGUGAGCACUAGAAUAACGACUAAUGCUGCUUUACGAAGUAACCUUAGACUGUCCCAACAGUGCAAUAGAGCAUCAAAUUUGAUUGCAAUUUGUAAAUCGUGUUCUUGUAAUGAGAUGCAGACUGGUUGAGAAAGGAUUAAUAACUAUAAUGUAUGUUGCUAUAUGUUGAAAAAGGGGUUAUUUAUUUGGUUAUC